rnacentral:rRNA from 1 species
UAUACGGUGAAACUGCGAAUGGCUCAUUUAAAUCAGUUUAUCGUUUAUUCUGAUAGUACCUUACUACAUGGAUAACCGUGGUAAUUCUAGAGCUAAUACAUGCUAAAAACCUCGACUUCGGAAGGGGUGUAUUUAUUAGAUAAAAAACCAAUGCCCUUCGGGGCUCCUUGGUGAAUCAUAAUAACUUAACGAAUCGCAUGGCCUUGCGCCGGCGAUGGUUCAUUCAAAUUUCUGCCCUAUCAACUUUCGAUGGUAGGAUAGUGGCCUACCAUGGUAUCAACGGGUAACGGGGAAUUAGGGUUCGACUCCGGAGAGGGAGCCUGAGAAACGGCUACCACAUCCAAGGAAGGCAGCAGGCGCGCAAAUUACCCAAUCCCGACACGGGGAGGUAGUGACAAUAAAUACUGAUACAGGGCUCUUUUGGGUCUUGUAAUUGGAAUGAGUACAAUUUAAAUCCCUUAACGAGGAACAAUUGGAGGGCAAGUCUGGUGCCAGCAGCCGCGGUAAUUCCAGCUCCAAUAGCGUAUAUUAAAGUUGUUGCAGUUAAAAAGCUCGUAGUUGAACCUUGGGCCUGGCUGGCCGGUCCGCCUCACCGCGUGUACUGGUCCGGCCGGGCCUUUCCUUCUGGGGAACCUCAUGCCCUUCACUGGGCGUGUUGGGGAACCAGGACUUUUACUUUGAAAAAAUUAGAGUGUUCAAAGCAGGCCUUUGCUCGAAUACAUUAGCAUGGAAUAAUAGAAUAGGACGUGUGGUUCUAUUUUGUUGGUUUCUAGGACCGCCGUAAUGAUUAAUAGGGAUAGUCGGGGGCAUCAGUAUUCAAUCGUCAGAGGUGAAAUUCUUGGAUUGAUUGAAGACUAACUACUGCGAAAGCAUUUGCCAAGGAUGUUUUCAUUAAUCAGUGAACGAAAGUUAGGGGAUCGAAGACGAUCAGAUACCGUCGUAGUCUUAACCAUAAACUAUGCCGACUAGGGAUCGGACGGUGUUAGUAUUUUGACCCGUUCGGCACCUUACGAGAAAUCAAA